rnacentral:rRNA from 1 species
UACGUAGGGGGCAAGCGUUGUCCGGAUUUAUUGGGCGUAAAGAGCGUGUAGGCGGCCAGGUAGGUCCGUUGUGAAAACUCGAGGCUCAACCUCGAGACGCCGAUGGAAACCAUCUGGCUAGAGUCCGGAAGAGGAGAGUGGAAUUCCCGGUGUAGCGGUGAAAUGCGCAGAUAUCAGGAGGAACACCGGUGGCGAAGGCGGUUCUCUGGGCAUGUCCUGACGCUGAGGAGCGAAAGUGUGGGGAGCGAACAGG